AGGGUGAGGGUGGGGGUGUGGGUGGGGAUGGGGGUGAGGAUGGGGAUAAGGGUGCACUGGAGGUGGGGGAGAUGGGUAUUUGUAGGGCUUCUUGGGAGGAGGAGGUGGUGAGUGGUAGUAGUAAGGCUUCUUCGGAGGAGGUGGCGGUGGAGAGUGGUAGUAGUAUGGUUUCUUCUUCGGUGGAGGUGGGGGUGGUGAGUGGUAGUAAUAUGGUUUGGGUGGAGGUGGUGAAGGUGGCGGGGGAGAAUGGUAGUAGUAAGGCUUAGGUGGAGGUGGUGAGGGUGGUGGGGGAGAAUGGUAGUAGUACGGCUUAGGUGGAGGAGGUGAAGGUGGUGGGGGAGAGUGAUAGUAGUAUGGCUUCUUCUUGGGUGGGGGUGGUGGUGGUGAGUGAUAGUAGUACGGCUUAGGUGGAGGUGGUGAAGGAGGUGGUGGUGAGUGAUAAUAGUAUGGCUUAGGUGGAGGUGGUGAAGGAGGUGGUGGUGAGUGAUAGUAGUAUGGCUUAGGUGGAGGUGGUGAAGGUGGUGGUGGAGAGUGGUAGUAGUAUGGCUUCUUUUUGGGUGGUGGUGGUGGUGGUGAGUGGUAGUAGUAUGGCUUAGGUGGAGGUGGGGAAGGUGGUGGAGGAGAAUGGUAGUAAUAUGGCUUGGGUGGAGGAGGUGAAGGUGGUGGUGGAGAGUGGUAGUAGUAUGGUUUUUUUGGUGGAGGUGGUGAAGGAGGAGGAGGAGAGUGAUAAUAAUAGGGUUUCUUAGGUGGUGGAG
rnacentral:lncRNA from 1 species